rnacentral:rRNA from 1 species
UGGUGCCAGCAGCCGCGGUAAUUCCAGCUCCAAUAGCGUAUAUUAAAGUUGUUGCAGUUAAAAAGCUCGUAGUUGAAUUUCGGGAUUAGUACGUUGGUCGUGCCUUAGGUACGUACUGGUGUUACUGGUUCCUACCUUCUGACGAACCAUCAUUUCAUUAAUUUGGUGUGGCGGGGAAUCAGGACUGUUACUUUGAAAAAAUUAGAGUGUUUAAAGCAGGCUCGCGCUUGAAUACAUUAGCAUGGAAUAAUGAAAUAGGACGUUGACCCUAUUUUGUUGGUUUCUAGGAUUGACGUAAUGAUUAAUAGGGAUAGUUGGGGGCAUUAGUAUUCAAUUGUCAGAGGUGAAAUUCUUGGAUUUAUUGAAGACUAACUACUGCGAAAGCAUUUGCCAAGGAUGUCUUCAUUAAUCAAGAACGAAAGUUAGGGGAUCGAAGACGAUCAGAUACCGUCGUAGUCUUAACCAUAAACUAUGCCGACUAGGGA